CAAGGAUUUAUUGCAGCCGGGGGCGGCGGGGCGCUGCAUCCCCCAGCCCAGGCUGUGCGCCCAGGCAGUCCCCGCUGCCCCCACCGGGGGGUUGGGGACAGGUGGGGACCCCGGGCAGGGCGCAGCGUGGAUGCAGCGCCGAGGGCACAGCCGCCCGGGGCCGGGCUGGGGUGGGGAGGGGCCGUGCACCCGCAGAAGCAAAAACCAGAAAUAUCCUCAACCACCAAAAAUAAUAAUUAUGUCACCCAACGAGCUCUGUCUAUUCCUGAAAAACAACGGAGCCGUCGCCAGCGCGAGGCGAGGCGAGGAGAAGGGUCCCAGCGCCGGGUUGCCUUGGUGACGGGGAUGGAACGCCGCAUCCGUGCUGCGCCGAUGCCGGGGGUGGGUGCCGGGGGUCCCACGCCGGGUUUGGGGUCCUCCCCUCCCCACACUGCCGCUCAGCCGCUUUUCGCCGGGGUCAAAACUGCACGGCGCCGGGGGAGAUGUUGAACAUGGAAGGGUCGAACUUCUGGCCACGGAACGGGGAGCCCUCGGUGUCCCAGCCCUUCUUCAGCAUCUCGUGCACCUUCAGCUCGUGGCUCUGCGGUUUGCCCUGCAGCUUCUGGUGGUAGUCGAAGGUGAGGCGGUCAAGCACAGCGUGCUCCUCCUCGUCCACCGUGGCCAUGGAGCGCUCCUUGUUGAUCUUGUCGAUGUCGAUCUGCUCCUCGCCCUCCAGGACGGCGUUCCACCAGUACUCGUCCCCCUUGUUCAGGUUGAUCAAAACACACUUCCCUGGCUCCAGGCUCCAGAGGGAACUCUCCGUGUUGAUCUUGUGUGUGAGCUUCCCCUCCAUGAGCACGCGCUGGCUGCUCCCCUCCAGCACCGCCACGCGAAUUGUGCUGCUGCUGAUAUCCACAGACACCUGUUUGCCUUUCACAAUGUGCUUGGGCACGGGCACUUUAAUCUCCAGGUCGCUGUAGUCUUGGGACCAGGCGUAGUUCUCCCGCACUGCCCCGUUGUAGCUGUCGGGGUUCGUCUGGAACUGCUCCUGUCCCGUGGGCAGCUCGGCAGGUGAAGGCUGCGCAGGGGCAGCUGCCCCUGGGGGCUCUGCUGGCACGGGGCUGGCUGCUGCCAGGGUUGC
rnacentral:lncRNA from 1 species